rnacentral:rRNA from 1 species
GUAGGUGGCAAGCGUUGUCCGGAAUUAUUGGGCGUAAAGCGCGCGCAGGCGGUCCUUUAAGUCUGAUGUGAAAGCCCACGGCUCAACCGUGGAGGGUCAUUGGAAGCUGGGGGACUUGAGUACAGAAGAGGAAAGCGGAAUUCCAAGUGUAGCGGUGAAAUGCGUAGAGAUUUGGAGGAACACCAGUGGCGAAGGCGGCUUUCUGGUCUGUAACUGACGCUGAGGCGCGAAAGCGUGGGGAGCAAACAGGGAUUAGAUACCCCGGUAGUCCACGCCGUAAACGAUGAGUGCUAAGUGUUAGGGGGGUUUCCGCCCCCUUAGUGCUGCAGCUAACGCAUUAAGCACUCCGCCUGGGGAGUACGGCCGCAAGGCUG